rnacentral:rRNA from 1 species
CCUACGGGAGGCAGCAGUGGGGAAUAUUGCACAAUGGAGGAAACCCUGAUGCAGCGACGCCGCGUGCGUGAAGACGUAUUUCGGUGUGUAAAGCUCUAUCAGCAGGGGAGAAAAUGACGGUACCUGAUUAAGAAGGCCAGGCUAACUACGUGCCAGAAGCGGCGGUAAUACGUAGGGUGCAAGCGUUAUCCGGAUUUUCUGGGUGUAAAGGGGGCGUAGACGGCAGCACAAGUCUGGAGUGAAAUGCCGGGGCUUAACCCCGGAACUGCUUUGGAAACUGUGCAGCUAGAGAGUAGGAGAGGUAAGCGGAAUGCAUGGUGUAGCGGUGAAAUGCGUAGAAAUUAGGAGGAACACCAGUGGCGAAGGCGGCUUACUGGACUGUAACUGACGUUGAGGCUCGAAAGCGUGGGGAGCAAACAGGAUUAGAUACCCCUGUAGUC